AGCGUACACGGUGGAUGCCCUGGCAGUCAGAGGCGAUGAAGGACGUGCUAAUCUGCGAAAAGCGUCGGUAAGGUGAUAUGAACCGUUAUAGCCGGCGAUGUCCGAAUGGGGAAACCCAGUGUGAUUCGUCACACUAUCGUUAACUGAAUACAUAGGUUAACGAGGCGAACCGGGGGAACUGAAACAUCUAAGUACCCCGAGGAAAAGAAAUCAACCGAGAUUCCCCCAGUAGCGGCGAGCGAACGGGGAGCAGCCCAGAGUCUGAAUCAGCUUGUGUGUUAGUGGAACGGUCUGGAAAGUCCGACGGUACAGGGUGAUAGUCCCGUACACCAAAAUGCACAGGUUGUGAACUCGAAGAGUAGGGCGGGACACGUGGUAUCCUGUCUGAAUAUGGGGGGACCAUCCUCCAAGGCUAAAUACUCCUGACUGACCGAUAGUGAACCAGUACCGUGAGGGAAAGGCGAAAAGAACCCCGGCGAGGGGAGUGAAAAAGAACCUGAAACCGUGUACGUACAAGCAGUGGGAGCACCUUCGGGUGUGACUGCGUACCUUUUGUAUAAUGGGUCAGCGACUUAUAUUCUGUAGCAAGGUUAACCGUAUAGGGGAGCCGCAGGGAAACCGAGUCUUAACUGGGCGUUAAGUUGCAGGGUAUAGACCCGAAACCCGGUGAUCUAGCCAUGGGCAGGUUGAAGGUUGGGUAACACUAACUGGAGGACCGAACCGACUAAUGUUGAAAAAUUAGCGGAUGACUUGUGGCUGGGGGUGAAAGGCCAAUCAAACCGGGAGAUAGCUGGUUCUCCCCGAAAGCUAUUUAGGUAGCGCCUCGUGAACUCAUCUUCGGGGGUAGAGCACUGUUUCGGCUAGGGGGUCAUCCCGACUUACCAACCCGAUGCAAACUACGAAUACCGAAGAAUGUUAUCACGGGAGACACACGGCGGGUGCUAACGUCCGUCGUGAAGAGGGAAACAACCCAGACCGCCAGCUAAGGUCCCAAAGUCAUGGUUAAGUGGGAAACGAUGUGGGAAGGCACAGACAGCCAGGAUGUUGGCUUAGAAGCAGCCAUCAUUUAAAGAAAGCGUAAUAGCUCACUGGUCGAGUCGGCCUGCGCGGAAGAUGUAACGGGGCUAAACCAUGCACCGAAGCUGCGGCAGCGACACUAUGUGUUGUUGGGUAGGGGAGCGUUCUGUAAGCCUGCGAAGGUGACCUGUGAGGGUUGCUGGAGGUAUCAGAAGUGCGAAUGCUGACAUAAGUAACGAUAAAGCGGGUGAAAAGCCCGCUCGCCGGAAGACCAAGGGUUCCUGUCCAACGUUAAUCGGGGCAGGGUGAGUCGACCCCUAAGGCGAGGCCGAAAGGCGUAGUCGAUGGGAAACAGGUUAAUAUUCCUGUACUUGGUGUUACUGCGAAGGGGGGACGGAGAAGGCUAUGUUAGCCGGGCGACGGUUGUCCCGGUUUAAGCAUGUAGGCUGAUUGUCCAGGCAAAUCCGGAUAAUCAAGGCUGAGGUGUGAUGACGAGGCACUACGGUGCUGAAGUAACAAAUGCCCUGCUUCCAGGAAAAGCCUCUAAGCAUCAGGUAACAUUAAAUCGUACCCCAAACCGACACAGGUGGUCAGGUAGAGAAUACCAAGGCGCUUGAGAGAACUCGGGUGAAGGAACUAGGCAAAAUGGUGCCGUAACUUCGGGAGAAGGCACGCUGGUGUGUAGGUGAAGUCCCUGCGGAUGGAGCUGAGACCAGUCGAAGAUACCAGCUGGCUGCAACUGUUUAUUAAAAACACAGCACUGUGCAAACACGAAAGUGGACGUAUACGGUGUGACGCCUGCCCGGUGCCGGAAGGUUAAUUGAUGGGGUUAUCCGUAAGGAGAAGCUCUUGAUCGAAGCCCCGGUAAACGGCGGCCGUAACUAUAACGGUCCUAAGGUAGCGAAAUUCCUUGUCGGGUAAGUUCCGACCUGCACGAAUGGCGUAAUGAUGGCCAGGCUGUCUCCACCCGAGACUCAGUGAAAUUGAACUCGCUGUGAAGAUGCAGUGUACCCGCGGCAAGACGGAAAGACCCCGUGAACCUUUACUAUAGCUUGACACUGAACAUUGAGCCUUGAUGUGUAGGAUAGGUGGGAGGCUUUGAAGCGUGGACGCCAGUCUGCGUGGAGCCAACCUUGAAAUACCACCCUUUAAUGUUUGAUGUUCUAACGUUGGCCCCUGACCGGGGUUGCGGACAGUGUCUGGUGGGUAGUUUGACUGGGGCGGUCUCCUCCCAAAGCGUAACGGAGGAGCACGAAGGUUAGCUAAUCCUGGUCGGACAUCAGGAGGUUAGUGCAAUGGCAUAAGCUAGCUUGACUGCGAGCGUGACGGCGCGAGCAGGUGCGAAAGCAGGUCAUAGUGAUCCGGUGGUUCUGAAUGGAAGGGCCAUCGCUCAACGGAUAAAAGGUACUCCGGGGAUAACAGGCUGAUACCGCCCAAGAGUUCAUAUCGACGGCGGUGUUUGGCACCUCGAUGUCGGCUCAUCACAUCCUGGGGCUGAAGUAGGUCCCAAGGGUAUGGCUGUUCGCCAUUUAAAGUGGUACGCGAGCUGGGUUUAGAACGUCGUGAGACAGUUCGGUCCCUAUCUGCCGUGGGCGCUGGAGAAUUGAGGGGGGCUGCUCCUAGUACGAGAGGACCGGAGUGGACGCAUCACUGGUGUUCGGGUUGUCAUGCCAAUGGCACUGCCCGGUAGCUAAAUGCGGAAGAGAUAAGUGCUGAAAGCAUCUAAGCACGAAACUUGCCCCGAGAUGAGUUCU
rnacentral:rRNA from 1 species